CUGAAAAUAAGACGUAUGCGUAACAUGGCUUUUGAGUGUUUUAAAAUCUUAAAUUGUCACCACCAUGCUUACAUGAUUUAGUUGUAUUGAAAGAUUGUAAAUAUACUUUUAGAUAUUCUAAUAUUGUAUUUAUACCCAGGGUCGGAACAUCAACCUAUGGUAAGAACUCUUUUAAAUACACAGCUGCUGUUUUAUGGAAUGAUCUACCUGAUGAUUUUAGAAAAAUUGCUAAUUUUAGAUCAUUUUAGUCAGUUCAAAAAUAUUUUAAAGUUAUGGAAUGGAAAUGACUGUAAGUGCACAGUUUGUGCAGACUUUUAGUUUAUAUAUGUAGGACUCUAAAGUGCAAUGGGGACGCUCAAGUACGAUAGUCACGCUAAAGUGCGAUGGUCUACGCUAAAGUACGUGGUUCUAUACGCUAAAGUGCGAUGGUCCAGGAAAAUAUAGACGUAGUUCGAUAAUGACGUUAACAGUUGUUUAUACAAACUAAAAAUGAACAUACCGGAAAUAUAUUAGGAACAUUUGAUUAACAAUUUUUACACCAUAUGUCCAUGACUUACGAGUAAUUGAUUGAAUUUAACCGUUUUUUGUCGGCUGAAUCACAAUGUUUAUAAUUUGCGAGUGCUUGAAAAAGGACUUGUGUCCUACAGUCGACCAUUUUACUAUAUAAAUACAAAACAGUAUAUGCAUACUUAUCCUGCUUCUAUUUGAAGCGAAUGGAUACAUUCGAAUCAUUGUUUAUGUGGCAGUUUACUUUGUGAUCCCCAUUAAAAUGCUGUCGAUUUUAAUGAAAAGUAACGUUGGUAAAAUAGAGAUACAUGUUUUCAUGCAUUAACUAUAAAUUGUCUGCUAAAACAAGUUCUUACUGUAUAUUGAAGGAAAUACGGAAAAGGAGAAAGCUCGGCGAACAUUGAAUUUCUCUCGCAUUUAGAUUUAAGCUUAUGCAAAUAAAUGUUGCAUUUUCCGACAAUGAACGAAUUAGGGAUUUUUAUUUUUCAAUGACAAAUGUAAGGGAGGUUGCAACAUUAGUGUGAACGGCAAUCUACACCAAUUAUCCAAAUAUUCAAUACGCUCCGAAUUGUUUAAAAUUUAUUUUACAUGAAAUAUAAUAUUAGCAAAACAUAAAUAACCUUUAUAGCAAUUAUUACUUGGUCAGACUUGUUAAUUUAGAAACAAUUACUUACGCCUACCGGUAAAUUGUAAAGCCUAUCACAUAUGUUAUAUCUUGGCAUAAUAGCUUUUGCAAAAAGACUUUUAAAACCUCUAUGUUUUAAUACUUCGAAUCUUACCCUUUGGACCAUCACACUUUAGCGUGAUACACCAUCAUACUUUAGCGUAGACCAUCGCACUUUAGCGUGACCAUCGCACUUUAGAGUACCAUCGCACUUUAGAGUCCUACAUAUAUUAUGCAAAUUUAUUUACCAUCAAGAUCAUACCCCAUUUUUCAAAUUUUUAUGCUAUGCAUUUUGCCAGCUUUUAUGCCUAGUUUACACUUAUAUGCUUUUAGCUUUAACACCUAGCUUAUGUUUAUAUUCUGCUUUUAGUGCUUCAUUUUUGUGCUGUGAAAUUUAUUGCAUGUGUAUUAUAUUAUGUGUUGUAUUGUUAUAAAUGUUGUAUUGUUAAAAAUGUCUUGUAUGUCGGUUAAAAGCUCAUUAGAGCUUAUGUUUGUCUAUGUUUGUAUACCUUGCCGACUCUAAAUAAAGCUUAUUUAUUUAAGGCCGUAUGUAGAUUUUGUUGUUGUUAUGAGUUACUAUCUUAUUGACGUUUAUCCUACUUUUUUUUAAAUAAGAACAGUCGACCAGACUGUAUUGAAUUGCAUGAAUGAUGUACGCAUGACAUUAUCAAAUAUUUAAAAAAAAACCCACAUAGUCGAGAUUCACGUUGAUAGUAAACAUGCGUAUUUAGAGUAAAAAUAUGGUAUAUUAGUAUAUAUAAGGUACAAAUAAGUGAUAUAUAUUAAAAGAUCGGAGAUUUAUGAUAAUAAGGGGGAGGGACUAUGUGGGGCUCAUAACAGGAUCCUGUCCUCAAGCACCUGUGCCAUGAAUUCACUCGUGCAUGAACUUAAUAUCCCAAUCAAACCUACCUUACUAUAAUUAACCAAACACAUGUUUAAAACUAUAAACAAACAACAUUUUACAUGUUCGAUUUUGUACAACUUUGAUAAACACAUCAAUCCGAUAGCUCUUGGGUUUUCUAUAAUGUGUGGAUAGUGAUUUUUGUCAUGAAAACUAGAUAAAACUUAGUAUGAGAUGGGUUUUCUUCUUUUUCAGGGACUGUUCGGCUGCCUUAUCAACAAUAUGGAACAAAGUGAGAUGCAAUUAUGAUUGCUGAUGGCACCAAUAUACAACAACAAAAAAACAGGAAAAAAAGAUAUAAAGAACUACAGGUAAUACUCCUUUACAAAACUAGAAACAUAUCCAAAAUGCAUAAUACUAGAUACUGUAAAUUCAGAAAUUAUUGUGUGCAUUUAUUAUUGAAAAAUAUAUAGACAGAUAUGCGAGAUUCAUUUUUGCAAUUUCAAGAAAAACUUCAUUACAGAUCAAUGUUUCAGAUAUAUGGCUUAUUGUUAAAGGAUUUACAGUGAUCUAGAAUUGCUUUUAUCCUCCUCAUUUGAACAAGGUGUAUGUCAGUUUCAUUGGUAUUCAUACCACACACCACACCUCCUUGUUUUGUAGGACCAAGUGUCAUGGAAUAGAAGUUCCUUCACAAUAUAACUUCCAAAAGGAAUAAAUAUUACAGUAUAUGUUCCUAACAGAAUAAAUGGUAUAGAAUAUUUGUUCCAUCAGGAAUAGGUAUAAGCUACAAAACAAAUUUCUUCAUAAAAUUAUGAUUUAUGAUAAUCCAAAUUGUAAAUUUUGUAAUAGAGAAAUUGAAACAUUAGAACAUUUAUUUUGGGAAUGUGAAAAUACACAAUUAUUAUUAGAACAGAUUGAAAAUUGGUUUCUAACCAAUGGAAUUAGUGUACUUUUUACAAAAUUAGUUUUUUUGUUUGGUAACACUGCAAAAAUAUCAAAAGGCAAUGCAGAAAAUACUCUUUUUCUUACCAUAAAGCAAUAUAUUUAUAAUUCCAGAUGUUUUAAAAAAAAACUGACGAUAAACUCAGUAAAAGAAAAGAUGAAAUAUGUGUAUGCAAUGGACAAAAAUAUUGCUAUGAAAAACAAAUGUGAACAUCAGUUUCUCAGAGAAUGGAAUGCUUUUGAUAUAUUACUUAGUUAAGUACAAAAAUGUAUAUACUUUACAUUUAAUAUUAUACAUGUUAUAAAUGAAAAUGCUGUAUUUACUAUACUAAAAUAGAAUUCAAUUUCUAGAUGAAUUAUAUUGAAAACUCACCACACUAUUCUCUCUCACUCUCUUU
rnacentral:lncRNA from 1 species